AUGGCGAGGAGAGGGGGGGUUGUGGAGAUAGUGAGCGAUGGAACCCUGCUGCAGUUGAGGACGAAGCAGGAGAAGCGCUGGUGGCAGAAUGACAUCGGCGGCGUGCUUGCCGAUGCCUGCGUCGGAGGAGAUUGUGAAGGCAACGGAGAAGACGGCGAAGAGGAGGUGUCAGAUGCGCUGGGGGUGGCCGGCACCGGUGGCCACCGCGCCAGAUCGGCUCCACCGCCGCCGGCCGGCGGUGCGCGCCCCUUUUCUCUGGAGAUUGGGUGGAUGAGCCGACAGAGAGAUUGGGCAGAAUAUAGAAGGCCUUAUCUGUAA
rnacentral:rRNA from 1 species